rnacentral:rRNA from 1 species
UGGGGAAUCUUGCGCAAUGGACGAAAGUCUGACGCAGCGACGCCGCGUGGGUGAUGAAGGCCUUCGGGUUGUAAAGCCCUGUGGGGAGGGACGAAUAAGUUCCAGCUAAUACCUGGAGCGAUGACGGUACCUCCUUAGCAAGCACCGGCUAACUCUGUGCCAGCAGCCGCGGUAAGACAGAGGGUGCAAACGUUGUUCGGAAUUACUGGGCGUAAAGCGCGUGUAGGCGGCCAUGCAAGUCGGAUGUGAAAGCCCUCGGCUCAACCGGGGAAGUGCACCCGAAACUGCAAAGCUAGAGUCUCGGAGAGGAUCGUGGAAUUCUCGGUGUAGAGGUGAAAUUCGUAGAUAUCGAGAGGAACACCGGUGGCGAAGGCGGCGAUCUGGACGAUGACUGACGCUGAGACGCGAAAGCGUGGGGAGCAAACA